rnacentral:lncRNA from 1 species
AUGGGAAAGAUUAGAGAUCUCUUCAAGAAAAUUAGAGAUACCAAGGUAACAUUUCAUGCAAAGAUGGGCUCGAUAAAAAAGGACAGAAAUGGUAUGGACCUAAGAGAAGCAGAAGAUAUUGAGAAGAGAUGGCAAGAAUACACAGAAGAACUGUACAAAAAAGAUCUUCAUGACCAAGAUAAUCACAAUGGUGUGAUCACUCACCUAGAGCCAGACAUCCUGGAAUGUGAAGUCAAGUGGGCCUUAGAAAACAUCACUACAAACAAAGCUAGUGGAGGUGAUGGAAUUCCAGUUGAGCUGUUUCAAAUCCUGGAAGAUGACGCUGUGGAAGUGCUGCACUCAAUAUGCCAACAAAUUUGGAAAACUCAGCAGUGGCCACAAGACUGGAAAAGGUCAGUUUUCAUUCCAAUUCCAAAGAAAGGCAAUGCCAAAGAAUGCUCAAACUACCACACAAUUGCACUCAUGGGCUACCCUGGUGGCUCAGAGGUUAAAGCGUCUGCCUGCAAUGUGGGAGACCUGGGUUCGAUCCCUGGGUUGGGAAGAUCCCCUGGAGAAGGAAAUGGCAACCCACUCCAGUAUUCUUGCCUGGAGAAUCCCAUGGAUGGAAGAGCCUGGUGGGCUACAGUCCAUGGGGUCACAAAGAGUCGGACACAACUGAGUGACUUCACUCACUCACAUGCUAGUAAAGCAAAGCUCAAAAUUCACCAAGCCAGGCUUAAGCAAUAUGUGAACCAUGAACUUCCAGAUGUUCAAGCUGGUUUUAGAAAAGGCAGAACUAGAGAUCAAAUUGCCAACAUCCACUGGAUCAUGGAAAAAGCAAGAGAGUUCCAGAAAAACAUCUAUUUCUGCUUUAUUGACUGUGCCAAAGCCUUUGACUGUCUGGAUCACAAUAAACUGUGGAAAAUUCUGAAAGAGAUGGGAAUACCAGACCACCUGACCUGCCUCUUGAGAAACCUGUAUGCAGGUCAGGGAGCAACAGUUAGAACUGGACAUGGAACAACAGACUGGUUCCAAAUAGGAAAAGGAGUACGUCAAGGCUGUAUAUUGCCACCCCGCUUAUUUAACUUAUAUGCAGAGUACAUCAUGAGAAAUGCUGGGCUGGAAGAAGCACAAGCUGGAAUCAAGAUUGCUGGGGGAAAUAUCAAUAACCUCAGAUAUGCAGAUGACACCACCCUUUUGGCAGAAAGUGAAGAGGAACUAAAAAGCCUCUUGAAAGUGAAAGAGGAGAGUGAAAAAGUUGGCUUAAAGCUCAACAUUCAGAAAACCAAGAUCAUGGCAUCUGGUCCCAUCACUUCAUGGGAAAUAGAUGGGAAAACAGUGAAAACAGUGUCAGACUUUAUUUUUUGGGCUCCAAAAUCACUGCAGAUGGUGAUUGCAGCCAUGAAAUUAAGAUGCUUACUCCUUGGAAGAAAAGUCAUGACCAACCUAGAUAGCAUAUUCAAAAGCAGAGACAUUACUUUGCCGACUAAGGUCUGUCUAGUCAAGGCUGUGGUUUUUCCUGUGGUCAUGUAUGGAUGUGAGAGUUGGACUGUGAAGAAAGCUGAGUGCCAAAGAAUUGAUGCUUUUGAACUGUGGUGUUGGAGAAGACUCUUGAGAGUCCCUUGGACUGCAAGGAGACCCAACCAGUCCAUUCUGAAGGAGAUCAGCCCUGGGAUUUCUUUGGAGGGACUGAUGCUAAAGCUGAAACUCUAG